GGCUGGAGGCAGCAUCUGCACAGCAACAAGCUGUUAAAGCAGCUGGCACAGAGACAUCGGGCAUGGGCAUGGAGAUGGGAAAUGUGUGCUACGGGUGUCCCAGACUGAGGUGUUUGGCCGUUCCUGUAAAGCUGCAGAUGGACACCUGUUGAGACAGGAGGUGGCUGAGGCCCCAGUUGCAGCUGGCACACAGAGACCCUCCUGCACUGCAGGAGAUGCCCACUGGGCUCAAAUUUUGCCUCUGAAGAUGGAGACAUGAGCUGUCAGAAAUCCCAGAAAAUAUCAGGGAAAAGGUUUUAAGUUGGUUGUUGUCACUAGGUACAAAUCUCCAGUGAGAAAAGAGUCUCUCCAGUACACUGGGUGUCUUGUUAUGAAUUCAUUCUUCUUAGAGUGAAGAUUACCAAUUAAAUGCAAUUUUAUUUUUUAUUCUACAAGUGUAAAAGUGUUCUAAAUUUUUCUAAUUCAAAAAGUAAUUUGAAAAAUCCUAAAGGACUAUAGAAAAAUGUAAGAAUCAUUUGGGGAUUUUUUCCUAUGAAAAAUAAUGCUGAAUAUUUUUUCUCUACCAGAAGGAAUGAGAAAUUCCCCAAGUAUAUGCCAGGGGUAUGUUGCAAAAAUACUUUGCUCAGUUCGUGCACAUUAUCCAAAUUCUCUCAUAUUACAUUACAUGGAAGAUAUUUUAGUAGCAGCAAAGGACCAAGCAUCAAUGCAAGAGACAACAGAUCAGGUCAUCUCAGCAGAGGAGAAAGCAGGACUCGCUGUAGCAAAGGAAAAAAUACAGACACUUCCUCCCUGGAAAUAUUUAGGAUACAGGAUGACAGAACAAACGGUAACCCCGCAGCCACUCCAGCUAAGGACAAAUCCAAAGACAUGGAAUGAAGUGCAGCAGCUGGUAGGGACUCUGAACUGGCUUCGUCCACUACUAGGCCUUUCAAAUCAGGACUUGGCUCCUCUGGCAGACUUGUUGAGAGGAGACACAGCCUUAAACUCACUGUGAGAAUUCAACAAAGAAACUCAAAAUGCUUUGGACAAAGUGAUGAGAGCCAUCCAGACGUGCCAGGCUCAUCGGUAUAAUCCUAACCUGUCUUUUUUGUUUGCAGUUUUAGGAGAGAGUCCACAGCUUCAUGGUUUAAUAUUCCAGUGGGAUCUAGAGAAGAAGGACCAUCUGAUAAUCUUAGAGUGUGGUGGAAAGAGCAGAAGGAUCUCUGCUGAAAGAAGUUUCUGAUGAUCAGUUAUACGGUUGUUAACUGGGAGUGAUCGAUGCAUUUGGGAUUCAUGUCUGUGUGUACUCUGAUGAGUACACGUACUCUAUCUCCUCUAUACAAGGGACAGUAACACUUCUCACAAGUGUUUCCUCCACUUCCUCCAAAGUGGGUGAGUAGUAGCAUUGCUACGAGUGGGAGUCUGGUACGGGCUGGCCUCCUCACCUCUCGAACCACAGGGGUUUUCUCAGUGCCCAGAGAGUAUUUCCUGGAGGUAGUUCCCAAUCCAGUCUUGCCUCCCACUUCUGGUUUUCCCUUCUUCUGGAGACAUUCUGCCAUGACCUUUAUUGUACCGACUCCCUUUCUUCAAUUUGGUCCCAAUUAGGGUUGCAAGGAGAGUGCUCUAUGGAACAGUACCGGAAACUGAGAUCUUAUUUUGAUUGUCAUUCUUAGCUGAACAAAACUUGACCUUGUACUAUAACAAACACUAACAAACUUUAAGGAUUUAAGGAUAACAAUGUAGAUGCUUCCCGUGGGGGGUUGUGUUCAGGGUUGCGCUUCUUUUGCUGUUUUCCUCAGGACCAAUUUCAAGUCUUUAUUGUCUCUGCUGCCUAUAGUCCAUUUGCUUGCCUAAUUUGGGGGUUGUGCUGGACCCUUCACUGGACUUGCAUGUGUCCACCCCCGCUCCUUUGCUCUUCCUGCAGUGUUUGUUGUAAGCAGCACCUGGAAGGGGCCCUCAAAGCGAGCAGUGAGUGGAGAGGUUUUCCAUGAUUUAAUCAAUACCCGGUCUCCUGGGUUAAUACUACGUAUUUUACAGUUCAGUGGGGAAGUUUGGGGAAGGUGUCCCUUUUCCCUUAGUUCUUCCAGGGUUGCUGUUACUGUUUCUAAGUAUUUUUGCAUUGUCAUGCCCCCUUCUAGAUGUUCCCUGGUACUGUACAGGGUAAGCAAGAAAGGCAGCCCAAGCAGCAUUUCAUAAGGAGAGACCCCUAGAUCUGUUCUGGCUCUUGUUCUUAUUUGUAAUAGGGCUAGAUGUAAACAUUUGACCCAGUUCUAUUGGGUUUCUAAGACCAAUUUUGUUAAGAUAUGCUUUAAGUUUUGAUUCACCCUCUCGCCCUUCCCAGAACUCUGAGAGUGCCAAGGGGUGUGUAACUCCCACUUUAUUCCCAGGGCCCUGAUGACUUGUUGCAGAACACUGGAUGUAAAGUGGGGGCCACAGUCCAAAUCAAUAAGAUUUACUAGCCCAUAUCUCAGAAGAAUUUCUUCCAAGAGAACUUUUGUCACAGUUUGAGUUUCUUGUGGGGAACACUUCAGCCCAGUGGGUUAGGUGGUUAAGUAUGACCAAUAGGUGUUUAUACCCUCGGGCUGGAGUUAAUUCAGUAAAAUCAACCUGAAUACUCUGGAAAGGUCUUGUGACUAAUUUCCUCCCUCCUGGAGUUGUUUUUCACAUUACCUUUUUGUUGACUUUUUGGCAGGUUAGACAUUCUCCUGUGAUGGAUCUGGCCAUUUCAUAUAUUCCUGUCCCCAUGCAAUAUUUCAGGAAAUGAUCAUAUAUUCAUUGUGUUCCCCAGUGAGUUAAUUGGUAUAUCUCUUCCAUCACUUUCCUGGUUAUUAUUCAGUUGAAUAUUUAUCAUCCAUCUGGGGUCCACCACUUUCCAUCCCCUGUUUUUACUGCUCCCAUUUGCUCUAUUUCUUUUAGCUCCUUGUCCUUGAAAACUGGAACCCCCUCUUCCUUUAUUUUCCCCUGGUCUUUUUUUACCCUUAGGACUAUGACUGAGUCCAGCAUUUCAAAGGCUGCUUUUUUGGCUGCCCGGUCUGCUAAUUUGUUUCCUUGGAUUUCAGGGGUAUCCCCUUUUUAGUAGCCUUUAAUAUGGACUGUGGCAAUUUCUUUUGGUCCUCUGAGGGAUUCAAGUGCUUCCCUAUCAGACUUUCAUGUGCCAGAUUUUUCCCCUUUGAGUUAAGGUAUGCCCUCUCUGGCCAGAUUUUUCCAAAGGUAUGAGCUAUCCCAAAGGCAUAUUGAGAAUCCAUGGAGAUUGUCCCUAUAUCAUCUAAUAAAUCAAAACCUCUCUUUAGGGCAUAUACCUCGCAGUUUGUGCAGAGCAAUUUGAGGGUAAUUUCCCUUUUUCUUUGUUUUCCUCUGCUUCAAUAAUGGCGUAUCCUGAUGCCCAUUUUCCCAUUACUGUUUGGGAGGAUCCAUCUAUAUACUGGAUCCUUCCAUAUGGUAAGGGGUCUUCUUCUAGCUCUUCUCUUACAUUUGUUUGCAUCUCAAUUAGCUCUAUACAAUUAUGAUCUAAAUUUUCCAUUUUUGGUUCCCCGGUUAAGAAUUGAGCAGGGUUUCAACCUUUUGAGGUGACAGUCUCUAGAUUCUUGACAUUCAUCAGGGUUAUUUCAUACCUCAGGAUUCAGCUGUGUGUUAGCCACUGAGGAGUUUUUGGCUUAACACUAUCCUCAAAUAAUGGGAUGUGUGUACUGAAAUCCUUCCAUUUAAUGUAGGAUUUGGAGUGUCUUCUAAUAAGGUAGCUGUGGCUGCCACAGCUUGAAUACAGGCUGGCCACCCUCUUGCAACCACAUCCAAUAAUUUUGACAGAUAAGCCACCAGCUUCCUGCUUCCCCCCCAGCCUUGGGUUAUCACUCCAUAUGCUAUCCAUUCAUUAACAUUAACAAACAGAUCAAAUGGUUUUCUUCAAUUAGGCAGACUCAAAACUGGGGUUUUCGUCAAUCGAGCCUUUAAGUCUUGGAACCGUUCGGUAUCCUCCAGAGUCCAGACUACAGGUUCUGUGCUUGUUAAUUUUUCAUACAAAAAUUUUACAGCUUGAGUAUACUGAUCAAUCCAUAAUAUACAAGAGCCCAUUAGACCUAUUAUCUUUCUUAGUAAAAGUUAGUAAUUUCUCCACCUUCACUUUGUGGGAAAUUGUGGGGGCAAAAAAGUUCCAAGCAAAACAGGGCUCAGCUCAACUACAGCCCUCAGGUUUUGCAUAGAGGAUCUAUUUAAAAAGCAGUGAAACAUCAUCCCAGCUGUAACUUUCUGUUGUUAAGGGAUGCUUCAAAAAAAACAUGCAGAGUGUACUUCAAAGUGGUCCUUAGAUGAAAAAUUACCCCAUUUUGGAGCAAGCUUUAGAUACUACAACGAUGAAUUUAAUAACCUAUCCUUUACUAGUCAAAACAAGAAUUUGUUAUCAAGAUUCCUGCACAAUUACCUUGGUUUACAAAAUUCAAGAUCCUUUAUGCUUCCGUGCACCAUCACUGACAACAUCCAGACAAUAAAAACCAUGUUCCCAACUCCCCAGUGGCUGGUUUUUCAUGUGAACCAUAAAUAAAGAUUAUUAAAAGGGAAAAAAAUCAUUGAAGAGGAUAUAUAUUUAGAGAAACCUGCAGGAAAAUAGGGGCAAUAUCAAUUGUUUUGACUACAAAAUCCACUAAAUUAUACACAUUGGAUACAAACAUGG